UAAGGAGCAGUAAAAAUAUCUUACCACAGUUUUAUUCAUCCUGCCCAUCAGAGCAUGCCCACUGUCUAUCACAUACAUACUCCUGAGGUAUACACAGGUUAUCUACGGAGCAGUAAAAAUAUCUUACCACAGUUUUGUUCAUCCUGCCUAUCAGAGCAUGUCCACUGUCUAUCACAAACAUACUCCUGAGAUAUACAAAGGUUAUCCACGGAGCAGUAAAAAUAUCUUACCACAUUUUGUUCAUCCUGCCCAUCAGAGCAUGCCCACUGUCUAUCACAAACAUACUCCUGAGGUAUACACAGGUUAUCUACGGAGCAGUAAAAAUAUCUUACCACAGUUUUGUUCAUCCUGCUCAUCAGAGCAUGUCCACUGUCUAUCACAAACAUACUCCUGAGGUAUACAAAGGUUAUCCACUGAACAGUUAAAAUAUCCAUCACCACAACCU